GACGAACGCUGGCGGCGUGCCUAAUACAUGCAAGUCGAGCGGACCACUUCGGUGGUCAGCGGCGGACGGGUGAGUAACACGUGGGCAACCUGCCUGUAAGACUGGGAUAACACCGGGAAACCGGUGCUAAUACCGGAUAAUCCUUUCCUUCACAUGAAGGGAAUCUGAAAGACGGUUUCGGCUGUCACUUACAGAUGGGCCCGCGGCGCAUUAGCUAGUUGGUGAGGUAACGGCUCACCAAGGCAACGAUGCGUAGCCGACCUGAGAGGGUGCUCGGCCACACUGGGACUGAGACACGGCCCAGACUCCUACGGGAGGCAGCAGUAGGGAAUCUUCCGCAAUGGACGAAAGUCAGACGGAGCAACGCCGCGUGAGCGAUGAAGGCCUUCGGGUCGUAAAGCUCUGUUGUCAGGGAAGAACAAGUACCGGAGUAACUGCCGGUACCUUGACGGUACCUGACCAGAAAGCCACGGCUAACUACGUGCCAGCAGCCGCCGUAACAC
rnacentral:rRNA from 1 species